AUUGUACGCUGGCGGUAUGCUUUACACAUGCAAGUCGAACGGAUUAGGGAGCUUGCUUCCUAGUUAGUGGCGAACGGGUGAGUAAUAUAUCGGAACAUAUCCGGAAGUGGGGGAUAACGUAGCGAAAGUUACGNUAAUACCGCAUAUGCCCUGAGGGGGAAAGGGGGGGAUCGCAAGACCUCUCGCUUUCGGAGUGGCCGAUAUCGGAUUAGCUAGUAGGUGAGGUAAAGGCUCACCUAGGCGACGAUCCGUAGCUGGUCUGAGAGGACGACCAGCCACACUGGAACUGAGACACGGCCCAGACUCCUACGGGAAGCAGCAGUGGGGAAUUUUGGACAAUGGGCGCAAGCCUGAUCCAGCCAUACCGCGUGAGUGAAGAAGGCCUUCGGGUUGUAAAGCUCUUUCAGCCGGAAAGAAAUCAGUGCAGAUUAAUACUGCUAGUAUGGAGGACGGUACCGGAAGAAGAAGCAUCCGCA
rnacentral:rRNA from 1 species